UACGUAGGGGGCUAGCGUUGUCCGGAAUCAUUGGGCGUAAAGAGCGUGUAGGCGGCCCGGUAAGUCCGCUGUAAAAGUCAAAGGCUCAACCUUUGAAUGUCAGUGGAUACUGCCGGGCUAGAGUCCGGAAGAGGCGAGUGGAACUCCUGGUGUAGCGGUGGAAUGCGCAGAUAUCAGGAGGAACACCAAUUGCGAAGGCAGCUCGCUGGGACGUUACUGACGCUGAGACGCGAAAGCGUGGGGAGCAAACAGG
rnacentral:rRNA from 1 species